rnacentral:rRNA from 1 species
UGAGGAACAUGACCUUCGGCGGGGGAUAGCCGGCCCAACGGCCGGGUAAUACCGCGUACGACCACAUGGGGACAUCCCUGAGUGGUGAAAGCAGCAAUGCGCCGAUGGAGUGCCUCGCGGCCUAUCAGCUAGUUGGUGAGGUAACGGCUCACCAAGGCGACGACGGGUAGCUGGUCUGAGAGAUGGCCAGCCACAUUGGGACUGAGACACGGCCCANACUNUACGGGAG